CAGCCGCCACGGUAAUACGGAGGGGGCUAGCGUUGUUCGGAAUUACUGGGCGUAAAGUGCACGUAGGCGGCUUGGUAAGUUAGAGGUGAAAGCCCGGAGCUCAACUCCGGAAUUGCCUUUAAGACUGCCGAGCUAGUAGGUGAGAGAGGUAAGUGGAAUUCCGAGUGUAGAGGUGAAAUUCGUAGAUAUGCGGAGGAACACCGAUGGCGAAGGCAGCCCCCUGGGCCAAUACUGACGCUCAUGCACGAAAGCGUGGGGAGCAAACAGGAUUAGAUACCCGAGUAGUCCCUGUCUCUUAUAC
rnacentral:rRNA from 1 species